CCUACGGGUGGCAGCAGUGAGGAAUAUUGGUCAAUGGGCGCUAGCCUGAACCAGCCAAGUAGCGUGAAGGAUGACUGCCCUAUGGGUUGUAAACUUCUUUUAUAUGGGAAUAAAGUGCAGUAUGUAUACUGCUUUGCAUGUACCUUAUGAAUAAGGAUCGGCUAACUCCGUGCCAGCAGCCGCGGUAAUACGGAGGAUUCGAGCGUUAUCCGGAUUCAUUGGGUUUAAAGGGUGCGCAGGCGGGCCUUUAAGCCGGCGGUGAAAUCGCGGGGCUCAACCCCGCCGAGCCGUCGGAACUGGGGGCCUUGAGUGCGGCGGAGGCAUGCGGAAUGCGCGGUGUAGCGGUGAAAUGCAUAGAUAUCGCGCAGAACCCCGAUUGCGAAGGCAGCGUGCCGUGCCGCCACUGACGCUGAGGCACGAAAGCGCGGGGAUCGAACAGGAUUAGAUACCCCAGUAGUC
rnacentral:rRNA from 1 species